rnacentral:rRNA from 1 species
AUACGGAGGAUCCAAGCGUUAUCCGGAAUCAUUGGGUUUAAAGGGUCCGUAGGCGGGUUUAUAAGUCAGUGGUGAAAGUUUGCGGCUCAACCGUAAAAUUGCCAUUGAUACUGUAGAUCUUGAAUUAGUGUGAAGUGAUUAGAAUAAGUAGUGUAGCGGUGAAAUGCAUAGAUAUUACUUAGAAUACCAAUUGCGAAGGCAGGUCACUAACACUAUAUUGACGCUGAGGGACGAAAGCGUGGGGAGCGAACAGGAUUAGAGACCCCAGUAGUCC